GCAUUGCUGAAGAGUCCCACAAUAGGACGAAACGGCUUUCCAGUGC
rnacentral:hammerhead_ribozyme from 1 species